UUUUUUGAGAGUUUGAUCCUGGCUCAGGAUGAACGCUGGCGGCGUGCCUUAGGCAUGCAAGUCGAACGCUUGUACGUAGCACAAGGAAAUUCGAAGCACGAAUAUCGAAACUCGAAACAAUAUCAAAAUUCGAAUGACCAAGAUACUAAACGUUUGGAACAUUUGGACUUAGAAAAUUAGAAUUUGUUUAGUAUUUCGAAUUUCGGAUUUUCUCGUGCUAUGCACGAGAGUGGCGGACGGGUGAGUAACGCGUAGGAAUCUACCCCUUAGGCGGACCAUAGCCCCUCGAAAGAGGGGGUAAUAGUCCAUAGUUUCUCGUAAGAGUAAAGCACUUAACGGUGCACCAAGGGAUGAGCCUGCGUCCUAUCAGCUAGUUGGCGGGGUAAAAGCCCACCAAGGCGAUGACGGGUAGCUGGACUGAGAGGUCGAUCAGCCACAACUGCACUGAGACACGGGCAGUACACCUACGGGUGGCAGCAACCAGGAAUAUUGGGCAAUGGACGAAAGUCUGACCCAGCGACGCCGCGUGGAGGAAGAAGGCCUUCGGGUUGUAAACUCCUUUUGACCCGCCAUUCACGGCGGGUAGAAUAAGCCUCUACUAACUACGUGCCAGAAGUCUCGGUAAUACGUAGGAGGCAAGCGUUAUCCGGAUUCAUUGGGCGUAAAGUGUGCGUAGGCGCCCCGAUCAGUCAUGCUUUAAAUACUAAGGCUUAACCUUAGAAUCUGGCACGAUACUAUCGGGGUUGAGGAUUGUCAGGGAUGCUGGAACAGUUAGUGUAGCAGUGAAAUGCGUUGAUAUUAACUGGAACACCAAAGGCGAAGGCAGGCAUCUGGGAUCUUCCUGACGCUGAGGCACGAAAGCUAGGGUAGCGAAACAGAUUAGAGACCUGUGUAGUCCUAGCCGUAAACGAUGUCCGCUAGCUGUCACUCUCAAAGCAUAGAAUGCUUUGAGAAAUUCGAAGCAUGAAUAUCGAAAUUCGAAAUAAAAAUUUAAAUGUUCAAAAUUCAAAUGAAUAAACAUUUUUCGGAUUUCGAAUUUAGAAUUUCGGAUUUUCUCAAAAAAUAUUCUAUUUUUUGAGAGUGGCGGUGUAAGCUANNNNNNNNNNNNNAACGCGUUAAGCGGACCGCCUGGGGAGUACGGCCGCAAGGCUAAAACUCAAAGGAAUUGACGGGGACCCGCACAACCAGUGGAGCGUGUGGUUUAAUUCGAGACAAAACGAAAAACCUCACCAGGACUUGACAUGAUACCGUUUACUCUCCUAGAAAUAGGAGAGGAUCCCCUCAAGAACAAAAGUAAACGGAAGUUAAAAAUUAAAAGUUUAAUUAGUUAGUUGGUUAGUUCGUUAUUAGUUCAUGGUAAAUUACUGUGAACUGAACUUUGAACUUUGAAUUACCCGAAAAAACUUCUGUUUUUGAGGGGGAUGGUAUCACAGGUGCUGCAUGGCUGUCGUCAGCUCGUGCCGUGAGGUGUUCCCUUAAGUGGGGAAACGAGCGCAACCCCUAUCUAAUGUUAAAUUAUUCAUUGGAGACUGCCCGAGCUUAGCUCGGGAGGAAGGAGGGGAAGACGUCAAGUCAGCACGGCCCUUAUGUCCUGGGCUACACACACACUACAAUGGCGAAAAACAAUGAGUCGCAAGCGCGCAAGUGCAAGCUAAUCUCUGAAAUUUCGCCUCAGUUCAGAUUGGGGUCUGAAACCCGACCUCAUGAAGUCGGAAUUGGUAGUAAUCGCGGAUCAGCAUGCCGCGGUGAAUACGUUCUCGGGUCUUGUACACAGAAUAAAUGCGCGCCUAGCAGCUUACUAAGCAAAAUGGUUUAAAUCCAUU
rfam:Candidatus Levybacteria bacterium RIFCSPLOWO2_02_FTLL_37_18 rifcsplowo2_02_scaffold_2996, whole genome shotgun sequence.